CACCCGCGCCAAAAGCGCGCGAAAAUCGGGAGCCGCAGAACGACGUCUCUUCGAUGGUCUGCAUCCGCGGUUCUCCUCAAAAAGGAAUGGCCUGAGCAUAGCCUGAAGGCAUGGAGCUGGUCUCGAGGCUUACCCUUCUGCUUCACCAAAAACACCUUCUUCGAGAAGAGCCAGACUGAUCAUUUGAAAAGAUCAUCCAGACUUGAACUGAGGGGCAUUGCUGGCUUGAAAAUGAUCCAAGAACAAAAGAAACACCUCUCAAAGGUCAUUCACAAAACAAACAAAAACUGAGAAACACUAUCAGUUGUUGUUGUUUUUUUCUCCUCAGGAGUGAAUCUGGGCUCUAACUUUGGAUUUUCGAUAAGUCAUAUCCUAUCUAUAUAAAGCCUUCCAUUUUCCCCUCCUA